AUGGAGUAUUCAGCCCGCGGUUCGCGUAGAUUUGUAAAGAAAAAAAAACGACCACAGGAGGACCACGGGCUCGCCUCCUCCUCUCACCCACGCCGCCGCCACCACCACCCACGCCGGCUGCUUCCGGCGACCUCCGACGCCGCGCAGCACGCCCCCGAGCUCCCCACGAAGAUGAAGAAACAGUUUCAUGUUUUGAUGCCUUUAAGUGUUGGUUCAUUGAUUAACUAUCUCACUUAUGUUGUGGGAGGAGCAGAUGAGCCAAACCAUCGAUUUUGUAUUCUUCUGACCCGGGGUCACCAAAUUGCUUUAGGGACGUUCCUGCUGGACGCAAUCAGCGGCCAGCAGCAGGAAUUUUUUGUGAGUGUCAAGGGGAUAUCUGCCUCGGAAAAUCAGGUUGCUGAAAUCACCAACGAAACUGAUGGUAGGAAAGUAGACCCGAGCAAGACCGAUAUAACCCCCGGAAUGCAGGACAACAAAGAAGAAGAUGAAGAGGGUAACAGUAGAAGCCGGAACCUAACAAUCACCGCUGCGAAGUAUGAGGAGGUGUUUGAAGAAGCUCACCCCGCCAUUCCCACCAAGCAGGGCUUGAUUGAGCUGCUGCUAGAAAGAGAGAGAGAACAGAGAGGGAGAGACAGGGUUCCAAUGCUUACUGAUCUGGUUUUGAUAAUACAGUAUAUGCUACUUUUGUUCAGGAUUGAGCGAUCUGGCAUUUCAGCCAUGUUUUUCACCAAGGAUUCAACUUGCAAGCAUCUGAAUCUUAUGUUGUCCGAUUCACUCUGCAUGUUAAUUCACAACUUGCAAGGAAGCUUAGGGCAGUGGUACCUUGUGAAACACGAAGAACAAACGCUAGCAACGCUGAAGCCGGCCGCCAAAAAGAGAAGAAAAAACCGAAAAGGAAAUCAGAUCAGAAUGCCUUUUCCUACGAAGAGAUCAGCGGCGAUGUACACGCUUGGAGAAAAGAAAAGGCUUUUGUCAUUGGCCACUACUAGAAGAAGGACGAGGUUGGCAACGAAGGCAAGCCACCGUGAGGUUACCGCGCGAACGGAUGGCAUUGGCACGUCGUCUGGCUCCGGACUGUGUGCGCCGUGCGCCCUACUCCGGCGCACGCUCCCCUGCAUUCCCUACGAAGUCACUGCGUGCAAAUGA
rnacentral:rRNA from 1 species